CAGCAGGCGCGAAAACUUUACAAUGCGGGAAACCGUGAUAAGGGGACACCGAGUGCCAGCAUCAUAUGCUGGCUGUCCGGGUGUGUAAAAUACACCUGUCAGCAAGGGCCGGGCAAGACCGGUGCCAGCCGCCGCGGUAACACCGGCGGCCCGAGUGGUGAUCGUGAUUAUUGGGUCUAAAGGGUCCGUAGCCGGUUUGGUCAGUCCUCCGGGAAAUCUGACGGCUCAACCGUUAGGCUUUCGGGGGAUACUGCCAGGCUUGGAACCGGGAGAGGUAAGAGGUACUACAGGGGUAGGAGUGAAAUCUUGUAAUCCCUGUGAGACCACCUGUGGCGAAGGCGUCUUACCAGAACGGGUUCGACGGUGAGGGACGAAAGCUGGGGGCACGAACCGGAUUAGAUACCCGGGUAGUCCUAGCCGUAAACGAUACUCGCUAGGUGUCGGCCACGGUGCGACCGUGGUCGGUGCCGUAGGGAAGCCGUGAAGCGAGCCACCUGGGAAGUACGGCCGCAAGGCUGAAACUUAAAGGAAUUGGCGGGGGAGCACAAGGGCGAUUCGC
rnacentral:rRNA from 1 species